rnacentral:rRNA from 1 species
UGACGGCGCGAGCAGGUGCGAAAGCAGGUCAUAGUGAUCCGGUGGUUCUGAAUGGAAGGGCCAUCGCUCAACGGAUAAAAGGUACUCCGGGGAUAACAGGCUGAUACCGCCCAAGAGUUCAUAUCGACGGCGGUGUUUGGCACCUCGAUGUCGGCUCAUCACAUCCUGGGGCUGAAGUAGGUCCCAAGGGUAUGGCUGUUCGCCAUUUAAAGUGGUACGCGAGCUGGGUUUAGAACGUCGUGAGACAGUUCGGUCCCUAUCUGCCGUGGGCGCUGGAGAACUGAGGGGGGCUGCUCCUAGUACGAGAGGACCGGAGUGGACGCAUCACUGGUGUUCGGGUUGUCAUGCCAAUGGCACUGCCCGGUAGCUAAAUGCGGAAGAGAUAAGUGCUGAAAGCAUCUAAGCACGAAACUUGCCCCGAAAUGAGUUCUCCCUGACUCCUUGAGAGUCCUGAAGGAACGUUGAAGACGACGACGUUGAUAGGCCGGGUGUGUAAGCGCAGCGAUGCGUUGAGCUAACCGGUACUAAUGAACCGUGAGGCUUAACCUUACAACGCCGAAGCUGUU